rnacentral:rRNA from 1 species
GCCUACGGGGGGCAGCAGUGGGGAAUAUUGCACAAUGGGGGGAACCCUGAUGCAGCGACGCCGCGUGGGUGAAGGAGGACUUCGGGACGUAAAGCCCUAUCAGCAGGAAAGAAAAUGACGGUACCUGACUAAGAAGCCCCGGCUAACUACGUGCCGGCAGCCGCGGUAAUACGUAGGGGGCAAGCGUUAUCCGGAUUUACUGGGUGGAAAGGGAGCGUAGACGGCAGUGCAAGUCCGGAGUGAAAGCCAGGGGGUCA